CUGGAUCUUUGAUCUUCGUGGCAGCACAUGAACUCUUAGGUGGCAGGUAGGAUCUAGUUCCCUGACCAGGGACUGAACCCAUGCCCCCUGCCUUGGGAGCACAGAGUCUUAGCUAUUGGACCACCAGGGAAGUCCCAUAACCAGAGAUAUUUUAAAGGAGAAUUACAGAAAAACCCCAAGAACUGGAGAAUAGGGAUUUUUAAUAGUAUUGGUGUUUUGUAGAGAUUGCCUGGUGGGGUUGUUUAUUUAACAAGGAUGACUCAGCAUCACCAGAUCCCCAGUCUAGGUGCUAAGAACAAUGUCCCUGCCCUUGUGGGCAAAUAACAACCAUGGAAACAAAUCGGUGCGACAAUUUCACAUAGUGAAAGUGUUGCAAACAAAAUAAAAAGCAAACUACUGGGACCAUGACUGUCAAGGGUAAGGGGGUCAGCGUUGAUUAGGGGUGGUGGGGGGGAGUAGGAAGGUGCUCUCUGAACUGAGACCUGAGUGGUGGAAGAGCUCGUUUGCAAGGAUCCAAGAGAACCAUGAGCUCAGAAGUCCUGAAGUAAGAGUGAACAAUCUUGGACUGGCAGCAGCAGAAGCCACAUGUACAUUUGACUUGCAUUCCUACCACCUGUAACCAAGACUUCUAAUGAACACCAAUCAUAAUGCACUGAAGUAAGGAUGGAAGACUUCCUAUAGAACAUGAGUCUGGAGCUGCACUCUUCUCUGCAUCAAGGUAUCCUGCCCUGGCUCCCCAAGGGUUGCCGUAACAGGAAGAUAGAGGGCAAGGAAGCUCACUGAGGCAUGCAGAAAUGUGGGGAUAGAGCAAGAAUGAGCCAUUGAAAUCUCAGCCCCACACAGCUGACAUUCUAUUUGGAGAAGCUCAGUGAUAAACAAGUCAACAAGCAAAUACAUAAAACUAUCACUCAGAGGGAUAUGCACCAUGAAGAGAACACAGCAAGAUGUAAAGUAGAAGAGAAUCAUGUGCAGGUUGAUGGUGAGGGAGGGUCUCUGUGAGGACGGAGGUCUUUAAGCUGAUAUCUGAAAGCUGAGAGAGAGCAAUGAUGGGUGGAAGAUCCAGGGAAAGAGAGGCGAAGGCUAGUUCAAAGCCUUUGCAGCUAGAAUGAGAAUAAAGCUUUCAAGGACCAGAAGGAAGGUGGGUGUGGCUGGAGCAUGUGACUGGUGUGGCUUGGAGUGAGUGACAAGGAGCAUGAAGGGUGAGGUGGGAGAGGCUAGGCCUGGAGGUGGAGGUUUUUGCCGUAUAGCCAAAAUCCUGUUCAUCCUUCCUCAGUGUACCUCUGGAUGCUGAACUUUUACUUCAACCACAGCUACUAGUCACAUUAGACCAGGGUCUGUGGUAAGCCCUUUGUGCAAAUUAUCUCAUUUAGAGCCCAUAAUAGCACAGGAAAAUCUGCUUGGUGUUAUGUGGCAGCCUGGAUAAGGGGGAAGUUUGAGAGAGAAUGGAUUCAUGUAUAUGUAUGGCUGAGUGCCUAUGCUGCCCUCCUGAAACUAUCUCAGCAUUGUUAAUUGAUUAUACCAAAAUAUGAAAUUAAAAGUUAAAAAAAAAUUUUUAGUUUUAUUUUUAAAAUUUUAUUGAAGUAUAGUUGAUUUACAAUGUGUUAAUUUCUGCUGUAAGCAAAG